rnacentral:rRNA from 1 species
UGGGGAAUAUUGCACAAUGGGGGAAACCCUGAUGCAGCGACUCCGCGUGAACGAAGAAGGUAUUCGUAUCGUAAAGUUCUGUCCUAUGGGAAGAUAAUGACAGUACCAUAGAAGAAAGCUCCGUCUAAAUACGUGCCAGCAGCCGCGGUAAUACGUAUGGAGCGAGCGUUGUCCGGAAUUAUUGGGCGUAAAGGGUACGCAGGCGGUUUAAUAAGUCGAAUGUUAAAGAUCGGGGCUCAACCCCGCAAAGCAUUGGAAACUGAUAAACUUGAGUAGUGGAGAGGAAAGUGGAAUUCCUAGUGUAGUGGUGAAAUACGUAGAUAUUAGGAGGAAUACCAGUAGCGAAGGCGACUUUCUGGACACAAACUGACGCUGAGGUACGAAAGCGUGGGGAGCAAACAGG